rnacentral:rRNA from 1 species
AUUGAACGCUGGCGGCAGGCCUAACACAUGCAAGUCGAGCGCGAAAGUUCUUCGGAAUGAGUAAAGCGGCGGACGGGUGAGUAAUACAUGGGAAUCUGCCUGGUAGUGGGGGACAACGUUUCGAAAGGAACGCUAAUACCGCAUACGCCCUACGGAGGAAAGGGGGGGAUCUUCGGACCUCUCGCUAUCAGAUGAGUCCA